AGUGAACGCUGGCGGUAGGCCUACACAUGCCAGUCGAACGGCAGCACAGUAAGAGCUUGCUCUUCCGGGUGGCGAGUGGCGGACGGGUGAGGAAUACAUCGGAAUCUACUUUUUCGUGGGGGAUAACGUAGGGAAACUUACGCUAAUACCGCAUACGACCUACGGGUGAAAGCAGGGGAUCUUCGGACCUUGCGCGAUUGAAUGAGCCGAUGUCGGAUUAGCUAGUUGGCGGGGUAAAGGCCCACCAAGGCGACGAUCCGUAGCUGGUCUGAGAGGAUGAUCAGUCACACUGGAACUGAGACACGGUCCAGACUCCUACGGGAGGCAGCAGUGGGGAAUAUUGGACAAUGGGCGCAAGCCUGAUCCAGCCAUACCGCGUGGGUGAAGAAGGCCUUCGGGUUGUAAAGCCCUUUUGUUGGGAAAGAAAAGCAGCAGGUUAAUACCCCGCUGUUCUGACGGUACCCAAAGAAUAAGCACCGGCUAACUUCGUG
rnacentral:rRNA from 1 species